rnacentral:rRNA from 2 species
CUGAAUCCAUAGGUUAAUGAGGCGAACCGGGGGAACUGAAACAUCUAAGUACCCCGAGGAAAAGAAAUCAACCGAGAUUCCCCCAGUAGCGGCGAGCGAACGGGGAGGAGCCCAGAGCCUGAAUCAGUGUGUGUGUUAGUGGAAGCGUCUGGAAAGGCGCGCGAUACAGGGUGACAGCCCCGUACACAAAAAUGCACAUAUUGUGAGCUCGAUGAGUAGGGCGGGACACGUGGUAUCCUGUCUGAAUAUGGGGGGACCAUCCUCCAAGGCUAAAUACUCCUGACUGACCGAUAGUGAACCAGUACCGUGAGGGAAAGGCGAAAAGAACCCCGGCGAGGGGAGUGAAAAAGAACCUGAAACCGUGUACGUACAAGCAGUGGGAGCCUCUUAAUGGGGUGACUGCGUACCUUUUGUAUAAUGGGUCAGCGACUUAUAUUCUGUAGCAAGGUUAACCGAAUAGGGGAGCCGAAGGGAAACCGAGUCUUAACUGGGCGUUAAGUUGCAGGGUAUAGACCCGAAACCCGGUGAUCUAGCCAUGGGCAGGUUGAAGGUUGGGUAACACUAACUGGAGGACCGAACCGACUAAUGUUGAAAAAUUAGCGGAUGACUUGUGGCUGGGGGUGAAAGGCCAAUCAAACCGGGAGAUAGCUGGUUCUCCCCGAAAGCUAUUUAGGUAGCGCCUCGUGAAUUCAUCUCCGGGGGUAGAGCACUGUUUCGGCAAGGGGGUCAUCCCGACUUACCAACCCGAUGCAAACUGCGAAUACCGGAGAAUGUUAUCACGGGAGACACACGGCGGGUGCUAACGUCCGUCGUGAAGAGGGAAACAACCCAGACCGCCAGCUAAGGUCCCAAAGUCAUGGUUAAGUGGGAAACGAUGUGGGAAGGCCCAGACAGCCAGGAUGUUGGCUUAGAAGCAGCCAUCAUUUAAAGAAAGCGUAAUAGCUCACUGGUCGAGUCGGCCUGCGCGGAAGAUGUAACGGGGCUAAACCAUGCACCGAAGCUGCGGCAGCGACACUAUGUGUUGUUGGGUAGGGGAGCG